UACGAAGUUAUUACGAGUUGGAGCACGCCUGUCGGGACCCGAAAGAUGGUGAACUAUGCCUGAGCGGGGCGAAGCCAGAGGAAACUCUGGUGGAGGCUCGAAGCGAUACUGACGUGCAAAUCGUUCGUCUGACUUGGGUAUAGGGGCGAUGGACUAAUCGAACCAUCUAGUAGCUGGUUCGUUCCCUCCCUCAGUUUCCCCCUCAGG
rnacentral:ncRNA from 1 species